UCCAACGGCUGAGAACUGGGGAAUGCUUACUAUUAAACUGUCCGAACACCCCCUACACCUCAUCGUCUCCCUCCCCCUCCCAUUCAUCAGAGACCCCAUGGAACCCCAGCUAAGCCGCCCUAAUUCCCCACCGCCGUUAAAGGUGGUGCGGGCUCUGUUCGACCCUAAAUUUACACCCUAGAAUCUCCUCUUCCCCCUCAUCACAAAUAUCCAAUUCUUUUCCCUCGAAUCUCAGUCAAUCCUUUCGAAUCUUAAAUCAAAGGUUUGACCAAAAACCCUAAGUUUUUCAAACCCUCAAAAAUUUAUACCCCACAACCCCAGGCCUUUCUAAGCCUCAUUCUCGUGUUUGCUGCACAAAAAUCCCAACUGGAUUCUGUCAAUUUCACAUCUAAGGUUCGAAGUCCUCGAAGCCAAGGCCAAAGUUGUUUCAUAUGAGUUCAUUUCCAAUAGCCAGGCACAUCGUUUGAGUCAAGGUGGUGUUCCUCUUUCUUUUAUUUUGUUAUCGUUUUUCUGUUUCAACUUCCUUCUUCUUUUCCUUCUUCUGUUCGCAUAAUCAAUUUUUUGCUCAUCUCUUUUGCUUCCCUUAGUUUGGAUUUUACUUAGGUUUAUUCAAUCUGAAAGUAGUCAUUUGUUUAUUUUUCUUUGUUAAUUCCGUUAGUCAAUCAAAUUAAUGUCCAAAGCAUGAAUACUGAUUUUUUGUUCCCCUUAUCACAUUUUAUCAUUAAACUUGGAUGAUUGGCCUAAUUGGACUAUUAGUUGUUUAAAAACAGUAAUUUUGUUCAUGUGAUUCGAUUUAGAAUUGACUCUGUCUUCGUAAUUAUUUGGUAAUUAGUUUAGUCUUCAUUCAACAUAGAUUUUAAUUCAGUAGCAGAUGUUUGAAUUUGUUUUUAUUGGUUUCUGGUUGUCCAUGUCCCUUGAUGUUUAGUUUUAAUUAAUUUGGUUAUAGUUGUUAAUUUCAAUCAUGGUAAAUUGAGAUUAAGGGCUAAGAGUAGGCUAGUAAUUUUAGAGUAGUUUUAGGGGCAAUUUGGGUACUCAAGAUUGGAUAGAAGUGUUGUGGUUAAUACUAGAAUUACCUAGAACCUUCUAUAAUAGGAAUUUUGUUCUAAUUUCAGAAAGUUAGGUUGUUUCUUUGAGAAGCAAGUCAAUAAGUAGAGGAAUAAGCAGGGACUAAAAGAGAAAUAAGAAAAUUGAGGGUUGCCCUCCCUUAUGCCUAUAAAAUGGCAUGUCAAUGCCUUCACUCACAAGUUGCAACCCCAAAAAAUUUCCCCCAAAACCUCUCCUACAGAUAUGAGUCUUAAAUUUCGAAUUCCAAAUCCAUGUUUUAGAUCUAGCUCUUCCAAAAACCAAAAACCAAGAGAAAAUUACUGAAAUAAAAAAAAACUACUGUUCAAUUCAAUUUCUUAUGUUAAUUUUCAGGUUGUAGUGGUUGAUUUGCAUUUCUUAGCCCAAUUUCUGGUAGUUGAGGUUCAGAGGUGUUCCUGGUUGAUUGCGAGUGGGUUUUGGGGUUCAACCACGUCAUAUUGGGUUAGUUAUUGGGUGCUAUUAUACUGUGAUGUAUUCCUGGGCUUUGUGGAGUGAAUUUGGGUCAAAAUUGUUCCUACCGUUGCUAUUUUUUAAUUGCCGGAUUCCAGUUGUUGGUAGUGGUUGCUGAUUCUCUUCUCAUCUUACAUUUAUUUCUAAUUCCAAGUACACAUCUCACAAUUGCUUCGAUGUAGCUAUCAAAAAUGGAAAUGAAAUAAAGUAUGGCUCACGUUCCCUGUUUCGUGAUUUGCACUCAUUUGAAUAUUGUAUAUCAAUUGUUAGAUAUUGCUAGCUAAAGUGUGUUUGUUUGAUAUAGUUUAGGCAAGAUUUGUAAUAACAUGGACUUUGAGCUAUGAACUGUAGUGAAUUGUUGAAUUUAGAUUUGAGUUUGUUAAUUCUAGAAUAAUAGCCUUUGUGUAGAAUAAUAUGAAAAUAUCAGUGCAUAGGUUCCUAUUAAUGAUGUGCCUGGGCCUGAUAAAUGUGCUACCGUAGUUCAGUUUAGAAGUCAAAUUUGGCUUUUCAGCUUGGAGUCUCAAUAAAAUUGUUAGUUGUUUGUGGCAUUAACCCUUUGAAGUGCACAAGCAUUAGGCAGAACAAAAUCAAAAUGCUCCUAUAGAUAUCAAUAGCUUUGGCACUUAGUCAUGGUGUUUCAAUUGGUUAAAAGUUGGCGUUUGAGGCAUCAAAAUUGAACUGGAAAUUGUAAUACAUUCUAAUUUGGCAGUCCAAGGUUUCAUUCAAAAGUCAGUAAUUAUACCUCGCAUAAUCUAGUUUAUUAACAGGUCCUUGAGUUUAAAUUGUGACAAAAUGAGUUGUUCAAUGUGUAAAUAUCAGGUUAAUCAUCUCAUGUUCCUCGUGAUUUUGUUCAUUGACGUAAGUUCGUAUGGUAUGAUCUAUAGUAUUUUGUGAUUGUUUCGGGAUUCUGUGAAUAAGUUGUCACCUAGGUGGAAUUGGACAUUGAUGGGACUUUUAAAUUAGUAACUGCAAGAUACAUUCAUCCAAUGGUUUAUGGGCUCAUCACAGGCCCAAACUGUCCCAUUAUUUACAAAUAUAAUCGGGCAUGUUUUAGACAAGUUGCUGAAAAUGCUUUGUCUUUACUUUGUUGGGCUUGAAUAAUUUGGAAUCUGAUUAUAAAUUUGGCCUUUACAAAUAUACUAGUUAAUUAGGGCUAUUUCUUUUAUUAUUAGAGACAAUUAGGUAGAAAAUUAUAGAUUUCUUUAGGAUUGGCGUUUAAAUAGUAAAUGAGAUAAGCCUCGCUAAUUAAAAUACAUAAAUGGAAAGGCCCUCAAUAAAUGGUUGUAUUAAAAUACUUAAAUUUCAUGAUUGGCUGUUUAGCAAAUUUCACGUACUUCCACAAUCAUAAUACCGCGUUAGUUGCUUUAGGCGCGUAUUUAAUAACAUUACCUUCUUAAAUUUUGGGUGUGCAUUUAUGUGACCCAAAUCCAAAUCCCAAUGAAGUUGAAAUAUGUUGAAAAUUAUGGGUGCAUUCAUAUGACGUGGUUCGAGAAAUGUUUUCACGAUGUUGCAAUUCUUUUUAAAAAUAAUAAUAAAAGCGGUUCAAAGCAAAAAGCAUAUAAGAUGAAACAUGUUUUAAAAUCAAUUAACUAGGCCAAAUAUGACAGUUGAGCGAUCAUGCUAGAACCACGGAAUUCGAGAACGCCUAAUACCUUCUUCCAGGUUAAUAGAAUUCCUUACUCGGAUUUCUGGAUCGCGGACUGUUAAAUAAAGUCGAUAAUUUCCUUGAUUCGGGAUUCAACUGGUGACUUGGGACAUCAUAAAUAUCCCAAGUGGAGACUCUAAUUUUUAAUAAUAAAAUCCCGCUUCGAUUGUCCUUUAAUUGAAAAAACUCUUUUACGACAUUGCGUGUGUAGUGAAAAGGAGGUGUGAUAGCUCUGGCGACUCUGCUGGGGAUACAAACCCAGAACAUCGGUUUAGGGUUUAGGAAUUUGAGCUUAGAAUAAUGGUUAUGUUUGGAUUUAUCUGAUUUUCCUACAUGUUUCCUGCUAAAUGUGCUAAAUACUUUACCGCUUUGAUAUUAUCUGAACUGUAUAUAAACUGUGCCGAAACCCUUCACUUCUCACGUCUGAGGAUGCACUUACUGGUUGAGACUCCCUAUUCUGUUAAUGUCAUACCCUGAAAUAAGAAAGACGCUCGAACAAGUUACAAAGCCAGAUGAUCUUGCGGGUUCCUGGUACAUAGCCCCUCCUCGACUCGAGUUGUCCGCUCGGGUACACAGUCUAGGAUAUAUACUUAUGUUUUGAACCUAGAAUAACUUGACUUCAUGCCAGAUCCCUAGUAGGAACGCUUAUUUGCAUCACAUGCAUUUUCCGUAGGGGGCUCAACAUAAGGGUUGGGACCGUCAUGACCCAAAAUUCCACUAAUGCUCAUGAUGGCGUCGGACACUACUGUCAGGCAAGCCAACCAGAUUACUUAACUCGAAUCUCGUUAACACUUUUGGAAAUACAUCAUAUUUAGAAAUUCUAAAGAAUGCCUUUUUAAAAUCAAAUUUCUUUUAAAGUUAAGGAAUUAAUACAAUAUUUCAAACCAUUCCACAACCCGGAGUCACAAGUGCAUGAGCAUCUACUAAUAAGAGAAAAUAAAAAUACAUCAUCUGUCUAGAAUACAGUGGACGAAAAAUAAAUAUAGUGCUGGAAAAGGACUACCCUAGCUGUGGCGGUCUCGAAUGAUGUAGCUCUCCAGUCCCCAGAAUCAUCCGUGCUGCUACGUCUAGUAGACUACUAAAACCACAGAUACCUAUGCAUCCAAAUGCACAGCAAGUGUAGUAUGAGUACAAAAACAACGUGUACCCAAUGAGUGUCCCGCCGGAUCCCGAAAGAAUAGAGACGAGAUGGUCAAUCCUGACACUCACUAGUAGUCCAAUGACUAUUUAUCCUUUAAAAUAUAUCCAAGCAGUGAAUUUGUUUUAUAAACAGGAUUCUAAUCUAGAUAUGGGAAAAAAGGUAGUCAUACAAUUCUUUCAUGGAAAAUUUCCAUAGUUUUCUUGUUAUUAUUAAGUAAAUGAUCUCAAGCCAUAAUGUGGCAUAAAACAACUCAAAUUAGUUCAAGAUAACAGCACAAACAUGCGCAAAUCAUGCCGAGGCAAUGGCCCGCUGCAACAGAAAUGUAAAUUUAUGCACUGCCGAGGGUUGAGCGGCCCGUACCAUAGAUGCAUCCAUUUUACCGAGGCGAUCGGCCCAUUCUAACAGAAAUGUAAACACAUGUAGAUAGAUAAUUAGUCAAACAGUCAGCGUAGAGCAAACAUCCAAGUAAGGUCCAUUCCCUAAUAAUAAUUUGAGAAAAACAUAGCUUUAGUCUUUUUUAAAAAUCCGCUUAUUAAUUUAAUAUGAUUAAAGAAUUUCAAGCCACCAAUGACUUACAAAUGAUUCAAGUAUAGCAUGCUUUUGGGUCCUAGAAUACCCGAACAAUAGCAUAGUAGUAGCUACGCACGGACUUUCGUCACCUCGUGCGUACGUAGCCCCCACAAAUAGGAUCACAUAAUCAAUUUAAUUCACCUAUGGGGUAAUUUUCCCUUCACAGGAUUAGAAAGGAGACUCACCUCGCCCCGAAGACUCAUAACCGGCGCUUCCCAUCUUUCCGAAAGCUUGAACUAGCACGUAAAGCUCCAAAUCUAGCCAAACAACGGCAAACUAAUGAAAAUAUACUCAAAUACUUGCUAACAGUUCACAUUCUAUAAUUUCCCAACUCCGUUUGUGAAAUGACCAAAAUUCCCUGGGGCUCGCGUGCUUGAAAUCAAAAAUUUCUUGAAGGUAAAGUUUACCCAUGACCCUAGGAACUCAAAUAUACGAUUUUCUCUCAAUUCCAGAUACCAAGUCGUGGUAAGACACCAAGAACCCUAGUUUUCUAGUCUUCCUAUAACCCUCAAUUUUCUACCCAUUUACAUGCUAAAAUCCAUACAAAAUCAAUUUAUUCAACUCAUAAUGGGUGAGAAUAACAUACCUUAGUGUUGAAGAUGAAAACCCUCUCUUGAAGCUCCCAAAAAAAUCGCCCAAGUCAUGAAAAUAUGAGGGGUAUGAGACAAAAUCCGCUUUUAAAACAACAAUCUAUCCCCAGCUCUUUCUGCUUUUGCGGUCCAGGGAUCGCUUCUGCGGAAAAAAUCCGCUUCUGCGGUCACCUUCCUCGGCUGCCCCUUCUGCUUCUGCGACUCACCGACCGCAGGUGCGGUUCCGCUUAUGCAUCUACUCAACCGCAUAUGCGGUCCUCUUCACUGAUGGCCAAACUACUUAUGCGAUCCAAUUAUCUCCCCUGCGAGGGCCGCUUUUGCGAUCCCAUUUCCGCAAAAGCGGAAGUACCAGAUACCAGCUGCCCAGCUCUUCCAAAAAUCCCACUUUCGAUCUGUUAACCACUUGGAAUUCACCCGAGGCCCCCGGGACCCCAACCAAUCAUACCAACUUGUCCCAAGACAUAUUACGGAUCUGCUCGAGGCCUCAAAUCACAUCAAACAACGACAAAUGCAUCGAACGACCUCAAAUCCAAACAGUAUGAACUUUGAACUUUCCAACUUCUACUUUCGAUGUUUAGACCUAUCCAAUCACGCCAGAUUGAACUCAAAUUUUGCAUGCAAGUCAUAUUCAAUAUUACAGACCUAUUCCAUCUUCCUGAAUUUGAUUCCGACCCCGAUAUCAAAAAGUCAAACCCCCGGUCAAACUCUUCAAAACCUUGAUAUAGCUAUCUUUUGCCAAAUGGCUUCAAAAUAACCUACGGACCUCCGAAUUCACUUCUGAUUGCGCUCCCAGCUCCAGAAUCACCAUACGGAGCUAUUCUCAGUCUCUGAAUUCCAAACGGAUAUCGAUAACGCUGAAAUGCACUUAAAGCCAAACUUAUGAAAUUUCUCCUAAAAUACUAACUUCCAUAAUAGACGCCAAGACGCUACAGGGUUAUCCAAAACCCACUCUGGCAUACGCCCAAGUCCGAAAUCAUCAUACGAACCUGCUGGAACCUUCAGAACCUGAUUCCAAGGUCGUUUACUGAAAAUCUAGUCCUAGUUUAUUCUUUCAACUUUAUGCUUCCGAAAUGGAAAUUUUCAUUUAAAUUUAACUCCGAUAUCCCUGAAUUUAGAUUCUGACCAUUCGAACAAGUCAUAAUACCCAAAAUGAAGCUGUUCACAGCCUCCAACUGCUGAACGGAGCGCUUGUACUCAAAUCAACCGGUCGUGUCGUUAUAUUCUCUCCCACUUAAACACACGUUCAUCCUCGAACGUGCUGAGAACUCUGCUGAAGUAGUCUGAAAUCAUUGUUUAGCAUCUCAUGCACCUUCCCGUGCUUCCACAACUCAGAUAAGCACAUUAGCCCGAUAUAUUCUGAAGAUAUUCCCUUUUAUUCAAACAAAUAAGUCUUAGAGCCCAAUUCCAACAUCCAGAAUUCUAUGUCAGGCCUGUUUUCAUCAACAAAUCACCAAAUUAUUCACUACACGCCGUCCUGAAAUAUGACUGCAUAGCUUUGCUGGAUUGUUACCUUGCAACACAAAAUCCACAGGACCACAAUAAUAUUUUAUGAGCAACUUAGCCAAAAUUCAACAAAUCAGAUUCUCUCAUUGCACCUCAUGACCUACAUAACCAACAGCUGAAUCAACAGGUCAUUGGGUCUAUACCUCUGACAGAACCAUUACCACAUUCUGAACCAAAUAAUGAUCUCUACGCCCUAAUGUACUUCAUGUGCUCAGAUUGCACUGAUCCUAAAUUCUAUAAUCUCAUCCCACCCAAUACGAAUUGCUCAGGCAAUAAGCCACACCAAACACAAUCAAGAGUCCCAUAUGAUGCCACGAUGUGCCAAUAGGCUACCGAUUAGGAUAUGAUACAAGAAGAAUAUGAACUCUUAAAUGGACAUUUAAUUACCCCGCCCGCGAAACAUACGCGCGAUGCAGGCUAACAACUUAUACGUAUUUUCCUCCGAAAAAUGGGAAACAGAACACAUAAAAGAAACUAGGGCGAACUGUACUGAAUUAUACUGGUGCGGCGUGCAACCUGAUCCAAACAGCAUAACCAUAGCGGCGUGCCACCCGAUCAAAGUAACAUACUUGUGGCGGCGUGCCACCCGAUGAACAAACAGGCUCACAUAAGGAGAUAUUCAUUGAGCUAAAUAGCUCACCACAUCAAAAUAUCAAAUAUUGGUCAUAGACAAGCUAAGGUGUAUAAUACCAUUCAUGAGGAACCAUUUAGCGCUAUAGGCUACAAAACGCACGCACAACCGAGGUGGAAUACAUGAUAUGAAUCUCAAGAGCCAUCCUGCUCAUAUAACACUACCGCUACGCUCAACCUCAACACAUAUAAAAUUUACCAAGCCGUUUCACAACCCAUACGACACACUACAUCCCUAUCUGGAAUAGCUGAUGGAAAAAUAACACCCCAAUUGUUCCUCCAUAAGGAACACUCAUCGAAACAAACACAACUAGCCGGAUAUAAAUCCAUGUCCACAAAUAAAUUAAUCCACUGAUCUCAAGCCAAUUUCUGAUUGCACCAACUUUGCUAAUGACCUUUCAAGGUUCGUAGUAACUGAUUCUUCCUCAUAACAUAUAGGAACAACCAUUACAACUGGAGUAACCUCCUUCGUUCAUAUCCCAAUAAACCAAGUUACCUCUAGGCCUAAAUUCUCAAAUCGAUGAUAUUACCAAAAUCCUCAUAUUUGGAUAAAUCUGUAGUCAAUCAAGAACCUACUUGUCACACUUACACAAUCUUCCAGUGGGACACGCUCCCACAAUCUUCUGAAUAAGUAUCGAGUCCGUACCUUUAAAGCUUCGGAUACACUACGCUGAAAAGCGAUCACACUGAAGACAAUACCAAUUUACUUUAAUCAUUCAACCACUUUCUUGGUCACCCGAGCCCGUGAUAUCCUUGCCAGCCCAAGCUACAACAUUGAUCUUUACUUCGAAUUUCCAUGCUACUCGCUGCACCCAAUGUGCCAACCUAUGAUAUAACAUGAUUUCUAUCUCUACUCUAGAACCACUGAUAGACUAACAUUUCAUCGUAUAAAACUUUUCAUUUAACCCACUUCGGGAGAACUGUAGCAACAUACAGAUGAAUUUUCAUAACUAUCGAAUAUGUCAAUCUCUAAGUGAACAUGAUUUCCACCUCUACUCUAGAACCACUGAUAGACUAACACUUCAUCGUAUAAAACUUUUCAUGUAAACCCAUUUCGGGAGAACUACAACAACAUACAGGUGGAUUCUCAUAACCAUCUAAUAUGCCAAACUCUACGUAGUGGUCCAAGCCACCAUAACCCUUCAGGGAUUUGCCUACUCAUAACAGGCUAUAACAGAAGAAUGCUUCUGAAUAACAUCAACUACACUUCACAGGCAUGAUUGAUCACGCUGGAUGAACUGAUCACCACUACCAAUAUGCCGAGAUAACCAUGGCUAAUCAAUCUACUUCCUUCUACUAAAUCCUUGUUUGCCUUAGAAAUAAUGCUUCUUCAUUCAACACAUAGUAUACUCAAUCUGCACUCAUCCCGAGUGACCUUGAAUAACGAGAUCAUGCUGUCUCAAAUCCCACGAACCAUUUCAUAUUUCUCAAUGCUACCUGUAAAUCAAAAUAUCAUAGAACAUUUUGGGAACCUUCUCAUAAGCUGCUACAAAGCUUGAUUCUUAACUGUACCCAUAUGCUCGAAAUUACUGAGGACCACACUUGAACUCCUGAAUUCACUAGGACCAUUAUUGUGAGCCACCUACUCUAUCUUGAUCUUGAAUAUAACUCACUCCAUAGCUCUUAUAACUUACGAAUACUCUCUCGGCGAAGCACUCGGUGAAAUCACUUCCUUAUUAUGAGAGCCACCCACUCUCUCUUGGUCCUGAAUAUAACUCACUCCAUAGAUCUUAUAACCUGCGAAUACUCUCUUGGCAAAGCACUCAGCGAACUCACUUCCUCUGAAACCUGCAUCUAUACGAGGCAUAAAUUCUGAAUCUUUUUCCAAGUCCGAACAUGAGCCAAUAAGGCCAACCGUCGCAUGCCUCCAACAAUUCAUUUGCUUGAAUUACCACUUAUGGUCUUUUCUCAUAGCUGAAAUAACCCAUCAAUAUGCUAAUAACCAGAAAUCAUACAAGUAGCCAAUCAUACAGCCCAAUCAUAAGCGGUGGAAACGUCUAAUAGAGUGUGUCUAGGAUUGCGGGUUCAUUUCAUGCGGCACAAUCCGAAAAUAUAUUUUAAACGACGUUCACUUUCUUAAUAAAAUACAUAUUAAAUAAAAGCUUUAGAAAGGUGAAAAUGGGCACAUAGGUUCUUCAUGUAAUAAAAUUAGAUACAAAGCUAAAUGCAACAGUUGAGCGAGCGUGCUAGAACCACGGAACCCAGAAUGCCUAACACCUUCUCCCGAGUUAACAGAAUUCCUCGGUUCGGGAUUUAAUCGGUGACAUGGGACACCUUUAAUCUCCCAAGUGGCGACAUAAUAACCAAAUCCCGUUCUGAUUGUCCUUUAAUUGGAAAAACUCCCCUUGCGCCCUUACGGUGCCGGAAAAAGGAGGUGUGACAGUUCUGGCGACUCUGCUGGGGAUAAUUGACCCAGAACCAUUGGUUCACGGUUGGAAUUCGAGCUUAGAAUAAAUUGUUGUGUUUAGCUUUAUCUGAUUUUGUUACAUGACAUGUGCUUAAUGUCUAAUUGACUACUUUUACCAAUUUGAUAUUUCGUGAACAGUAUAUAAACUGUGCCGAAACUCAUCUCCUCUCCGAGUCUUCUAAAUCAUGAAGAAGGGUGCACUUCGUGUGACUUCUUUUCUGUUUAGAGUCAAUCCCAUAUUUAGAACGAGGUUCGGAUAAGUUGCAAAGCCGGGUUGAGAUUCUGUAUCCCCGGCACGCUGCCCCUCCUCGGCUCGAGUUGUCCGCUCGUGUAAGUCAGUUCUAAAACGAAUACCCAGGUUCUGAACCUAGAAUAACUCAACUUCAUGUCGGAUCCCUAGUAGGAACGUUUAUUUGCAUCAUGUGCAUUUGACUUAGGGGACUCAACAAAGGGGUUGGGUCCGCCUAGGACAAGCGACCUGAAGUGAAAAGACCAUCCUGCUACAUCCUGUUUGUUUCAUGCUUGUAUUUGCUUCAGACAAAGCAUGGUGACCGGCUUUGAAUACUGGAAAAUUGUGGAAAAAAAACUAGCAGUGUAGAGUGUUAAUUACAUAUUUUUUAAAAAUCAAUUUCCAAUUGUUGUUGAAACUGUGUCGAAAUUUUGAAAAAAACAAAUGUUUUACUAGUUUUACUACAAAACAAAAGGAAAUUAACAAAUAGUCAUUAUUUUGUCUUGUUUUCAAAAAAUAAAAAUGGAAAAUAGUUUGUUUUGCCAUGAAAAAUGAAAAUGAAACAGAUUCUUGUUUUGUAAAAUAGUUAUUUAUUUAUUUAUGAAAUUCCAAAAGUUAAAAUGAAAAGAGUCGUCUUUGAAAAUUUUGUUAUUUGUUGCCAAAAAAAGAGAGUCAUGUUUUAAAAUAGUUCAUUUUAUGCACGAACUACGUUUGGUCUGAUUCAUGCGGAGACAUGAUACAAAGGCAAUCCACAUAAGAUUCGACCACCGCUAAAAAAAUAAAUAAAUAAAUAAAAAGGAAGAAAGUGAAUAAAAGAAAAGAGAGGGAAGAAUGAAAAUAAUGGAGGGUUUUCAAAAUGCUUGAAAAUGGUACAAAUAAAAUAAGCCAGGAUGAUGCAUGCGAUCUGAGCAAAAGCAUAUUAGAAAUGGUUUUAUUGCCUAAGGACAUUGCAUCCGCCAACGUGCAAUUAUGAUAUCUGUUGAAACUCUGACGCUAACAGGUUUGUAUUUUCGAAUCAAUGCCAGUUAGUUUGUUAGAGCGUACUAGCACCGUACCAUUAUCAGACAAGAUCAAAAGGGCCUACGCCAGAAAGCAUGUCUAGAUCAGACAAUAGCUUUGAGUCGGAAAAUCAACAAAUCAGAUGCUGAAGGAAGCCAUGAAAAAAAAGAAAAAGAUGAGGCUGGAAAUGAAUGAAAUGUAGUUAGCCCUGGCAAAGCACAAAAGGGCCUGAGCUACCCUUUACUUCUACUCUCCAACAAGGACACACACUAGAAUAACCUUCCCCUGGUCCCUCAACGAGCUUCCCGACCCAUCACUACUAUCAGGGAAGAGAUGCCUAUGGCCCCUAAGCCCCAACACCCAAUCAGAACCCUCAUCCACCAAAUGUUCAUGUCUUUGUGGCGCCUCCCCCUGCCCCAUUGCACAGGUCAUCUAGUGAGACGUUGUUUCAAGAUCACGAUGCACAAUAUUACCCCACCUGAACUCACAUUCAAAGCACCCGAGCCACAUACCUACUAUCCACACUUUGAUGUCUCGGCGGAGACUGAAAAGCCGGCUAAGAGCCCAGAGCAGGACGAGGUGAUGCGAAAGUUUAAAAGCCUGGAGCAGUCCUUCAGGAACAUGUACGGGUUAGGCAACCAGGUCAGCGUAGCCUACAAGGAUCAAUGCCUUUUCCCGGACGUCCAAUUACCUGCAGGGUUCAAGAUGCCCAAGUUUGAUUUAUAUGAAGGGCAUGGCGAUCCUAUGGCUCAUUUGCGGGGUUUUUGUAGCAAAAUGAGGGGAGCAGGAGGCAAAGAUGAGCGACUGAUAGCUUACUUUGGCCAGAGUUUGAGCGGAUCGGCAUUAGAAUGGUAUACAAGACAAGAUCCAAGCAGGUGGUACACCUGGGAUGAUCUAGCACAGGCUUUCGCCGAACACCUCCAAUACAACCUCGAGAUAGUCCCAGACCGUAUCACAUUGCUAAAGCUUGAGAAGAAACCUGGGGAGAGCUUCCGGGAAUUUGGGUUCCGGUGGUGAGAACAGGAAGCUAGAGUUGAACCUCCAAUGAGAGAUGGGUAGAUGGUAGAUUAUUUUCUACAACCUCUAGAGCCAACUUAAUUCGGUCACUUGGUGACGUCGGUUGGUAGAACCUUUAAUGAAGUAGCGAAAAUGGGAGGCAUGAUUGAUGAGGGACUUAAGUCCAACAAGAUCCUGAGUUAUUCGGCAAUUAAAGCAACCACUCAGGCCAUUCAGAGAGGCACGGGAGGUGCGCUCAGAAAGAAAAAGAGAGAAGAGGUCGCAAUAAUAGAGGCAGGUAACUAGUCCAGAUCUAGAGGUCCUUCCCCUCAUUACCAAUCCAGACCCUAUCACCCAAAUUACCCGCACGCUCCAAAUUACCCUCCAUAGCCUUACUACCCACCACAAGAACCACAUUUCUCCGUCCAUCUAGCCCAAACAUACACUCAAUCUUCGGCUCGCCCGCAAUGGCACGCGUCGGCUCCCCAAAACACAUAUCCACCUCCACAGAAUACAUAUCCACCACCAAGGGCCUACAGGAACCCUUCAGGGUGGUUUCAGUGGGAAUCAUAGUUUCAGAAAUGAAAGGGUACAAAGAACAUUCACUGAGUUGGGAGAAACCCAUACUGCUUUGUUCCACAAACUAAUACAGUUAGGUUUGUUGAGUCAUGUGUAGCCCAGAUUUCCAAAUCCCCUUUCCAAAAAUAUGGACCACUCGGUAAGCUGUGAAUAUUGUUCGGGGGCUCCCGGACAUGAUAUCGAGAAGUGUUGGAAGUUGAAACAUGCAGUGCAAAAUCUUAUUGAUACCAAAAAGAUUGAGGUUCAGGCACCGGAGGCACCCAAUAUCAACCAGAACCCAUUGCCAGCACACCAUGAAGCCCACAUGAUCGAGCUAGUGCACAAAGGAGGGAAGUUAAGGAAACCCUCACAAACAGCGAGAAUGGUCUGUGCCGGUUCAAAAGAAAAGUCGACCGGUGGAGAAGCGGUGGUAUAGUUGGAAAAGGUAGAUGACAAACCAGUUAUUGUGUUGGGAAAAGGGUCCAGUGGGACAGAUGUAUAGUUUGUGGGGCAUAGGGCCAAUCUCGACAAUUUGAUGGGUUACUCCUCUUCCAGCCCGGAGGGAGUCUUGGUAGUAGGCUCUGAUUUUCUUUUUUUUUUGUCUGGUUUAUUCUAGAGAUGUAAUCCAGUUGUUUUGUUUUAUUUGUAUUCGGAAAAAGUGUGAAACUCUGUUAUCCCGCAUUUUAAUCAUGUGAAACUUUUCUCUUCUUAUUUUAUUUUAAUUUUGUUUUCUUCAUUCCUAUUUCUGAACAUUUCUCUUUAUACUGGUUCUAAUGACAUGGCAUGCACAACGGAUCUCCAACCUAGUCUAAAAUCAAUCUGGUUCCAAUUUGCAUUGUUGAGUUAUCGCACUACUGUCUGCACUUCAGUAGAUGUAAGUCCUUAUUCAUUGUGAAGCGGUAAUACUAGCAGAGGUUGAAAUUCCGUCUCUCUGGAUUGUCGCUGAGGCUGGGAUUGGUGAUGAUGAAUGGGUCCAAUCUCGAUUGGAACAACUGAGCUUAAUUGAUGAAGAGAGAUUGGCGGCAGUAUGUCAUGGCCAAUUGUAUCAAAAAAGGAUGGCAAGAGCAUAUAACAAGAAGGUGCAUCCCAGGAAAUUUGAAGUGGGACAGCAUGUGCUGAAACGAAUCCUGCCACAUUAGGCCGAAGCAAAAGGCCAAAACAAGGGCCAUUUAUUCUGACCAGGGUGUUAUCCAAUUGCACUUUAUGUCUGACAUAUGUCGAGGGAAGAUGCAUCGACAUGACUAUCAAUUCUGACAUAGUCAAGAGAUAUUAUGUGUAAUUUCUUUUAUUGUAAUUGUUGUUUGUUUAUUAGUUUGUAAUUGGCAUUUAUCGGAGAAUGAAAUGACGGAGGCAAUUAUUUCUUCCAUCCAAACACUUUAACCUUUGCUUCCCCCUUUGAGACUUAUUUAUUCUUUCAUACCCCUCUCUUGCAAUCAUUAAUGAAAAUGAAGAAACAAUAAUGAAAAAAAAGAAAAAAAUAAUAAUAACAAAAACAAAAGAAAAAUCACAAGAAAAACAAAGGAAUCGAGUGAACUACGUUUGACCUGAUUCCUCAAAGAGGAUACGUAGGCGCCUCAUGGCUCAGUCAUAACGUGACAAAGUAUCACAAAAAUAAAAAUCCCCCAAUCAAGAAAACUGGGGCAGAAGUUAUGUUUUUAAAUUUUGAAAAAAGGUUUGAUUCCAAGAGUUGUAAUGUUUUACCCAUCAAAGUUAUUUUGAAUUUUUAUCUNNNNNNNNNNNNNNNNNNNNNNNNNNNNNNNNNNNNNNNNNNNNNNNNNNNNNNNNNNNNNNNNNNNNNNNNNNNNNNNNNNNNNNNNNNNNNNNNNNNNNNNNNNNNNNNNNNNNNNNNNNNNNNNNNNNNNNNNNNNNNNNNNNNNNNNNNNNNNNNNNNNNNNNNNNNNCCAUCAAAGUUAUUUUGAAUUUUUAUCUCCUUUUCUUUUAAGCCCCACAUAAAACCCAUAUUGAUGUCCAAAAAAGACCUCCCGAUCAGUAUCUGAGAGAUGCCAAGACAGAUAAAUGAAGCUAAGGAUAACAUGCUAGUCCCCGAUUGAACGAGGAUCCUGAGCUGAAUAGAAUUGAUAGCCAUAAGAAUUCCCAUCAAAGAGAAUCAUACCGGCAACACUCCAAUCCCCAGCCAAGAAAAUAAAAUGAGAGAGUCUUAUAAGUGAAAACCUUCACAAGCACAUAAGGUGACGUAAGCCGAGAGAAGAAAAAUGAGAGAGUCUUAUUAGUGAAAACCCUCGAAGGGCACUAUGAGGCGACGAGAUAAGAUUGGCAGAAGGGAUCCGCAUUUUGCGAAGAGUUGGGAACUUGUUUAUCCCCAGAAAGUGAAGACAUCAGAAAGAUUGAUUGAUACAUGUACACUGGGCUGAUUAAUCCGGAAUGCACGACAUGAUCGUUGGGAUCGGUUACACCACCCAGAUAAGUUCCUUUCUUUUCUUUUCCCUAACAUUUGAUCAGAAAGAUACUUUUUUGUUAUCUUUUCAAUUCUUGUUUAAAAGACUUUUUCCAUAAAUUUAUUUUUGAGAAAGAUCUUUCAGAGCUUACUACCAGUUUCCAAAAUGGUACAAAGAAAAAUAGGAAAAGGACAGGCCAGAGACAAGGCAAAAAGAGGUUUGUUACAAGGUCGAAUAAUAUAUUGAUCCAAAAUUUCAAGGAAAGUAUGGAGAAAAAUAGGAAAACAACAGUUGAGAAAAUUGUGGACCAAAUUCCAAGAGGGUCCCUAGCAGAUCAUCGAGAUGUAGAAGCAUCCCCAACAGAUUUUUGACCAAGUUCCAAGAAGGUCGGACAACACAUAGUGGGGGAGGAAGAAAAGGAAAAUUCAUCACAAAUACCAACAGAUUUUCGACCAAGUUCCAAGAGGGUCAAACAACACUGAGUGGGGAAGGAAGAAAAGGAAAAUUCAUCCCCAACAUAAUAAUCCCCAACAAGUUUUGAUAACGUAAUGAAACACAAAGAAGGGAAGGAAGAAAAGGAAAAACCAUCCCCAGCAGGAGUGCAUGACCACUCACCAUGUUUUAGAACUAACAAAUUUUCUUUGAUUUGAAGUACGAAAAGGAAAUAUAAUAAUGGUGAAAAAACAUGACAUAAGGAAGAUCAACAAAACUGGGGCAGAACAUUUUCUUCCAUUGUCGAAAAUUUUCUUGGAGGAACGAGGAAAUCAAUUCAAGCUUUAAAGAAUGGCAAGAUAGCACAAUUUUAAGAGAGACACUCGGAAGUAAGAUAAUUUCAAGUUUUGAAAACGGGUCUAUCCGCCCUCGAAUAGGAUAAUUUUAGGUUCAUCCGCCUUCGAGUAGGAUAUUUUAUGUUCAUCCGCCUUCGAAUAGGAUAAUUUUAGGUUCAUCCGCCUUUGAAUAGGAUAUUUUGGGUUCAUCCGCCCUCGAAUAGGAUAUUAUAGGUUUGUCCACCUGCGAAUAGGAUAUUUUGGGUUCAUCAGCCCUCGAAUAGGAUAUUAUAGGUUGUCCACCUUCGAAUAGGAUAUAAUAGGCUUGUCCUCCUUCGAAUAGGAUAUUAUAGGCUCGUCCACCUUCGAAUAGGAUUAGGUUCGUCCACUUUGAAUAGGAUAUUUUGGGUCAUCCGCCCUCGAAUAGGAUAUAAUAGGUUUGUCCACCUUCGAAUAGGAUAUUAUAGGUUUGUCUACCUUCGAAUAGGAUAUUAUAGGUUUGUCCACCUUCGAAUAGGAUAAUUUUAGGUUCAUCCGCCUUCAAUUAGGAAAUUUUAGGUUCAUCCGCCUUCUAAUAGGAUAUUUUAGGUUCAUCUUUAGGUUCAUCUGCCUUCGAAUAGGAUAAUUUUAGGUUCAUCCGCCUUCGAAUAGGAUAUUUUGGGUUCAUCCGCCCUCGAAUAGGAUAUUAUAGGUUUGUCCACCUUCGAAUGGGAUAUUUUGGGUUCAUUUGUCCUCGAAUAGAAUAUAUAGGUUUUUCCACCUUCGAAUAGGAUAUUAUAGGCUUGUCCACCUUCGAAUAGGAUAUUAUUGGCUUGUCCACCUUCGAAUAGGAUAUUAUAGGUUCGUCACUUUCGAAUAGGAUAUUAUAGGUUUGUCCACCUUCUAAUAGGAUAUUUUGGGUUCAUCCGCUCUCGAAUAGGAUAUUAUUGGUUUGUCCACCUUCGAAUAGGAUAUAAUAGGUUUGUCCACCUUCGAAUAGGAUAUUUUGGGUUCAUCCGCCCUCGAAUAGGAUAUUAUAGGUUUGUCCACCUUCGAAUGGGAUAUUUNNNNNNNNNNNNNNNNNNNNNNNNNNNUUGGGUUCAUCCGCCCUCGAAUAGGAUAUUAUAGGUUUGUCCACCUUCGAAUAGGAUAUUUUGGGUUCAUCCGCCCUCGAAUAGGAUAUUAUAGGUAUGUCUACCUUCGAAUAGGAUAUUAUAGGUUUGUCCACCUUCGAAUAGGAUAUUAUAGGUUCGUCCACCUUCGAAUAGGAUAAUUUUAGGUUCAUCCGCCUUCGAAUUGGAUGUUUGGGGUCAUCAGCCCUCGAAUAGGAUAUAAUACGAUUGUCCACCUUCGAAUAGGAUAUUUUGGGUUCAUCUACCCUCGAAUAGGAUAAUAAUUGUCUAUCCACCCUCGAAUAGGAUAUAUCGGGUCUAUCCGCCUUCGAAUAGGAUAUUGAAGUGAAUCCUUCCUCAAAAGGACAAUACUAUUUAUUUCGAACCGAAUGGUCCUGCUUGUAUAAACAUUGCCAAAAUAUAUAAUUCAUAAAUCAUUGCCAAAUACAUUUUUUUUUCAAAGUUGUUGAUGAAGUUAGGCGCCCACCUAUAUAAUAUGGGAAUACUUUCAUGUCUUUACCAAUUAGGCGCCCACCUGUAUAUUAAGAGAAUAUUUUUCAGUCUUAACAUUUCAGGUCUUGAAUCAUUAACCCACUGAAAGGCAGAAGGUUACAACAAAAGAUCCCCAUCAUAGUGAAGGAAGCAGUAUCCUCAGUAGACAGAACAAAAUGAGGAAAAUUGGUGUUCAAUAAAGCAAAAGGCUAGUAUCAGCCCCGUCAUUUUUCAGAAGGAAAAAGCACCGGAAGAAACAUAAGCUGACAAGAAAGCAAGGCAGCAAGAACAAGUUGAAGAUAGACAAAAUCUUGUGAUCCGUAGUCUAGCCUAGCUCCUUGAUUUUUCUUUUAGCACGGUAUAAUAAGGAGAUCAGUAAGCAGUAGUAACAACAGAAUUGCAGUCCCACGGUAGUCCCAGCUACCAAAACUUCCCGAACUGCAUUGACUUGAUUCCCUUUUAGCCGGGGAUAUGUAGGAAACCUUCGAAGCAAAGGUUCGGUCAAAUCUUUCAAACAAACGCUUCACACGGAGUACUCCAACGGGCAAAAAUCGCUCGUAUCCACUCACUUUAUCUUUGCACGAAAACUCUUCGUGCUUUUGGACAAAGAGGGGCAGCUGUGAGCACGUG
rnacentral:lncRNA from 1 species